AGCAACGCCGCGUGGAGGACGAAGGCCCUCGGGUCGUAAACUCCUGUCCAGAGGGAAGAAGCCAGUGACGGUACCUCUGGAGGAAGCCCCGGCUAACUCCGUGCCAGCAGCCGCGGUAAUACGGGGGGGGCAAGCGUUGUUCGGAAUUACUGGGCGUAAAGGGCGCGUAGGCGGUCUGGAAAGUCUCGGGUGAAAGCCCCCGGCUCAACCGGGGAAGUGCCUGGGAAACUACCGGACUGGAGUGCUGGAGAGGGAAGCGGAAUUCCCAGUGUAGCGGUGAAAUGCGUAGAUAUCAGGAGGAACACCGGAGGCGAAGGCGGCUUGCUGGACAGACACUGACGCUGAGGCGCGAAAGCUAGGGGAGCAAACGGGAUUAGAUACCCCGGUAGUCCUAGCCGUAAACGAUGGGUACUUGGUGUGGGGGGUGAUGAAGUCCCUCCGUGCCGGCGAUAACUCGUUAAGUACCCCGCCUGGGGAGUACGAUCGCAAGAUUGAAACUCAAAGGAAUUGACGGGGGCCCGCACAAGCGGUGGAGCAUGUGGUUUAAUUCGACGCAACGCGAAGAACCUUACCGGGGUUUGAACUGCAGUGGACAGCGGCAGAGAUGUCGUGUUCUCUUCGGAGACUGCUGCAGAGGUGCUGCAUGGCUGUCGUCAGCUCGUGUCGUGAGAUGUUGGGUUAAGUCCCGCAACGAGCGCAACCCUUGUCUGUAGUUGCCAU
rnacentral:rRNA from 1 species